UAGACUACCUGUCAUGAGAGUUCCAGUUUUUUGCAAGGGUGUGAAGGACUGUGUGAACACAGGGAGCUACAAACUGGUGCUGGGGAGAGGGACGCGUCUUGUUGUGAAGCCCAAUAUUACUCCAUCUCCUUCAGUCUACAGGCUGACCUCUAAAGAUGAUGCGGAUUUGGAGAUGUGCCUUAUCACAGAUUACUCCCCUGAAACUCUUAACUCAACUAAUACUGAGACAAAUGCUAUUGUGGAGGUGGCAACAUCUGAGAACAAACAGGAAGCAAGCUACCUGUCAACCUACUGGGCCAAGAAAGAUGAAAUGCAGUGUGGUGCAAAUGUUAAGGACUUUGGAAAACUGAAGGGCGAGGAUCCUGAAAGUGAUGCCAGUGCUAUCUGUGUUACAGGGUUGUCUCUACACUUCAGGACAGAUGAAAACCUGAACAUGUUGCCUUUAUCACACCUGGGUCUGAAAAUUAUUUUAAUGAAAGGAAUAAUUUUUAAUGUGCUGAUGACGAUGCUUAUGUGGAAAAAAAAGGAAUGAAAGUAGCCAGACGGCGCAGUCCUCAAGUACCAGAAAUGUCUGCUGAGGAAUCUUUACCAGCGUCGUGUGCAAGAGGGAGCACAGGCGUUCCUGUUGCAAGGGAUAUCACUUGCUGUUUCUGUAUAUCACAC